GGUCAGUGCUGCAACAUUUUGCUGCCGGUCACGGUUCGAACGUACGGACGUCCAGCUGCUAAGCAUCCACUUGGACGCCUUCCUAGUAAUGACUCAAAU
rnacentral:rRNA from 1 species